CUUAUUUUCGCAUGGUUUAGAUCAGCAAAAACUAAAUGUUCAUGGGAAAUUAGUUACCUGGCACUACAAAGCACCACUUCCUGUAAACUAUAGCUCAAAAUCCAUACUUGACAACACAUCGCUAUAUGAUGCUGUCACUAAGAAUUUUACCAUGAGGGUCAAGCAUUAGCACUUUGAAAGUAAAUUUUCCAGAAACUGUUUAUGUGUCCCUCCUUUUCCGCGCCUCCACAUCCUUGCCCUGCCAAUCACACAAACGCAGAAGCCGAAACGGCGCCAUCAAAACCAGAAAUGUACAUGGGAGAAGGAUAUUCUGAUUAAAUGGAGUAAAAAUAAGAACAGGAUCCAAGGAAAACAAGCUAAAGCUUAACACCGAACGCCCCUGCUUGGCCAUACCAACAACUGAGUCAAGUAAGACAGAUUUCUAUAGAGCUUAUCGCGACCAGCACUACAUCUGCAGGCCCAAUCCUGUCUGUCACCACAUUCGUAACCAGGUCAGGAACUGCACCACAAAAUAAGGUGGCACGUGCACUAAACCUGGAAGCCAAGAAGACCAGAUUUAUCUUAAGAAGGUUUUUGAUAAAUGUUACUCCCUCCGUCCCAAAAUAUAAGAACGUUUUUGAUACUAGUGUAGUGUCAAAAAUGUUCUUAUAUUAUGGGACGGAGGGAGUAGGAAAGUAUCUUAGGCUUCCUUGUUCGUUGAAUUUUAGUUUGUCCUCAAAGGUACGUGGCCACCCUAAGCCUAUAGAGAAAAGGGGGCCUAUAUUAGGACAUUAUCAAUCAAUAAACAACAAAUUGCCCCAAGCUGAGAACUAAAAGCCUCUAGCAAGUGGCAACAGCCGGGGAGGAGCCCCGACAUGUGCCUGAGGGCAGGCCCUGUUAUCCCAUUCAAUCUGAUCGCAACCCCCAUUGCUAUAUCUAAGCCUACCAACAAGCACACGACACAGACAUGUAGCACCAUGGAUGUUUUCGACAAUCAUGAUAUAUUGAAGUGCCAACUGACAAGAGAUGGCAUGAACACAGCAGAACAUGUUGUUAACAUGUGCACGAAGCUAUAGAUCUUUGAGUCACUCAGGGGUGAAAACAGAUCAAAUUGGUUCUACCACAUUCAUGUCCGUAUUUGUUCACUAAACACUGAUGCGGUUACACAUACAGGUCAGACAAAGAAUUCAAAGGAAUACCUAUGUGAUUCAGUCGAAUUCAGACAUCCCUGUAAUGUAUGCAAUCAGUCAAGGCAAUAGGAUGCACUUAAUCAGUCGAGGAAACAGAAAUGGUCCCUAAAUCAAGAAAAAGAUCCUAACUGAUUUGACAUCUGAAAUAAAGCAGAUAAUACAACUCAAAAGGGAAAAACUAAACCGAAUUCGCACCCAUUUUUUCUUGUCACUCGCAAAUACAAUUUUGGACAGCAAAACUACCAUUCAACAGAAAUACCCAAACCAAAUUCUAAUCUGAUCAAAUUUGCAUGUAAUAUAAUUCGAAUAACCCAUGUUCAAUUACCAACUCGAACGCCCGUUGAUGGUGCACAACCACCACCUUCCUUCGUAGUUAGCUAGUAUAUGUUGAUAAUGAAGGGAGAAUACUAGAGAAAAGAAAACACUUACGGCAGAAUAUGCGGCAAUGUUUUGCUAAGUGUAGACAUUUGGAUGUGUUCACAUCAGGUAGUAUCUUUGCAGUGAUAUAGAGAAAAUAAUUACAUAUUAGAAGGGAGUAUCUGGGUAACGUAUGACUCACCUAUUCAUGUGUCUUCUUUGCAAGGGAGCGAAGGAACAUGAUGAGUGGUUUCUUCGCCCUGGAAAGCUUUUUAUCAGAUCCCUCUCCGCUAUCUUUAUUUCCCAUGCUUUUUUGGACCUCUUGGACUAUCC
rnacentral:lncRNA from 1 species